GGUCUAACUGGUGAUAAUCUAGUGGAAACCUUAACUAUUUCAUUCCAUUCCAUUCAUAACUAAAACUGAUACAUCCAUCACGUUUAAACACAGCAUUUCCAAUUGUGAACCGCAAAAAAUUCAAAUGCACCUUCAUGACAUUCCAUCAAUUGUCUUUUUAACAAAAUACUAUAUCAUUAACCGGUCCAAUUUUUGUGACACUAUUUCAUAUGCUCAAAAUCUAUAUUUAUCGCCAUUGCCUCAUCUUAAUUAAUUAAUUGGUCUUGGCCAACUCUCUUCAACGCUUUAUAAACAUUUGUGCGUGAGUAUAAGUAAAGCUUCCUGAAAUGAAGAAAUGGCGCAAAU
rnacentral:lncRNA from 1 species